rnacentral:rRNA from 1 species
UACGAAGGGGGCUAGCGUUGCUCGGAAUCACUGGGCGUAAAGCGCACGUAGGCGGAUAUUUAAGUCGGUGGUGAAAUCCUGGAGCUCAACUCCAGAACUGCCUCCGAUACUGAAUGUCUUCGAGUCCGGGAGAGGUGAGUGGAACUGCGAGUGUAGAGGUGAAAUUCGUAGAUAUUCGCAAGAACACCAGUGGCGAAGGCGGCUCACUGGCCCGGUACUGACGCUGAGGUGCGAAAGCUAGGGGAGCAAACGGG